rnacentral:lncRNA from 1 species
UUCAUGAUGAAAUUGCCUGCAAUUUUCUUAACAUGUUUUACUAUUUUUAUACUCUCUGAAUUAUAAGCUCAUGACUUGUGAAUGAUGUAAACUAAAGACUGUUAUAGAGCAUGACAUAAGUAAAAAGAUGUACAUUGACACAAUGGAAGAGAACAAGACCCUUUAAAAUUCCUGCAAUGUUUUACUUAUCUAGGAAACCAGAAACAUAAAAAGAACAUGAAAAGUACCAAACAUGAGAAAACAAGCCUCACUUGACAAAAAAACACAAUCACUUGGUUUUGACCAAAAGCACCAAAACCCAGGUUUUGUUGUUGUUGUUCUUGUUCAUGUCUGUGAGAUCUUGGACUUUUGCAUCUUCCAUGGAUUCCUUUGUAGCAUCUCUGAUAUCAAAAUGGGAACAUCCAUCAUCAAAGUUAAGUGCAUAGCUUGAAGGAUCAUAUUGAAACUUGAGUUGCUGCUUCUUCCCACUUUUCUUCAAAGCCUUCUUCAUCUUCCAAAACAAGAUCCUACAAUGUUUCUUGCCAUAAGCAUUCACCCAUUCCAACUUUCCAAGCAAACCCAUUUGUGAAAGAAAAAAAUUGAUACUAAAACAUAAAGAGAGAGGCUUUAAGCAAUGUGCUACAAAACAAGAAGGUGGGGUAUUGAUUUAUAAUGAUAAAAUGUGAAUGAGAAAGAGAGAGUAGUAGUAACUAGUAACUAGUGAUAGCAUGGUCUUUUUUUUUUACAACACAAGUGUGAUAUUGCAUUAUUUGGAUUGUAGUAUAUGUUUGUAGGGUAUGGGAGGAAAAUACUUGAAAAGGUUAAAACUUUUGGUGAUGGGGUUAGAGGAGAAGAAACAUGGAAAUGGAAAGCAAUAUAGCAGAAUGUAAUCUUUUUGGUUUUUCAAAGAAAGUGUGCAGACUCAGGUGCAUUCUCUCUACAGUUAUAUCUAUAGGGAGGGUCACUUUG